AAAGUAGUAAAAACAAAAAAUCAAAAACAAUCAAUUUAAAAAUUUCUAAGUCUGAACAUUACAUACGUUACAAACUAAGGUAAUGUUGCGUACAUUUAUGUAGCACAUGCUAUCUGCAACCUUAAACGUACCCAGCAACUUUAGUACUAACGGACCCGGUAGACGUUGUUCUGCCCGAAAAAUAGUUUCACAUUACGUAUGGCAUGCCGACAACAGCGCCACCUACCGGGCCCAGUUGUGUUUUCAAACCAUCCAUGAUCCUAUUGAAAUGUACUCAUGAAAUUUCCAAAAUUUUUUUGGAUUCAACCAAAUUGGUCCAAAUGUUUUGUAGAAGUUAGGUGACAAACACCCAUACAGAAGAAUUAUAUAAAUAUUAAAAUGCGAUAAUUAUUUUGAACUCACAAACUGCAACGAGGCCGAAAUAUCGGAGUUUCAAUGUAAUAGUUCUGUACAAUCCAGUGUUCUUUUUAUUUUGUAUUUUAAUCUGGCCACAAUAAAAAAAAUGUUCUUCAUAUUUUCUUGUAUUUUUUUUAUAAAGCAAUGUUUUCAUAUUAAAAAGUAUAGUCGAAAAUGUUUUAAUUUUAUGUUUUUUUUUGUUCGCCAGCUCUUCAAUAAAAACAUAUCUCUAUUCUUGAUAGAUAAAUACCUAUACAUCGCGUUAAAUUAGUUCAAAUUAUCUUGAUUAAAAAAGGAAAAUAUGUUAUCGUCGACCUAUUUUUUAUCUGUGUAUGGACCAAUAGUAGUAAAGUUUUAUGAAAUUAAAUCGUUGGUAAGCUUAACGAAAAUUUUGACUUUAUACCCAUCGAAAAAGUAUGACGUUUAGGUGUAUUUUCUGGUAUGCAAAGUUUUAAGCCUCAAUAGCGUAAGAGUGGUUUCGUUUUUUUUUUUCGUAUAUUUUGUGAUCGCUUAAAUAUAUUCAUCAUUAUAGUGUAAAAAAUAAAAUAUAUUUCCUAACGAGUGAUUUGCAUACGCGUUUUGAUGAAUAUAAUUUCGCGUUAAAUAAAUUCGAUUCCUACUCGCACUGCGGAAUGUUUGACAACUUGUUUUUGUAAAUAAAAUAAACGCGUCUCGAAGUGUAUGCAGUGUGAGUGCGACUCGCUAAUGUUCGGUACCUACGUCUAUGUAUUGUCGUUAGAUUUUAAUCGCUUUGUAAAAAAUCCCGCUUCUAUCACCAUACAAAUGCUUGUCUCUAGAACGAUAAGUGAUGGUAGGCUGAAACGACGACAUAGCUGGGGAGUAACCGAGCAGAAAUAAAUUUUAACAUUCAAUACUCUAGCCUUAUCUGCUGUGGAUUGAGUCAUAGACAAUUUUUUUUUCUCCCUAUGCUAAGGUCAGGUAUAAAGUACACAGUCCACAGCAUUUUCACAUGAAUUAAUGAUUGGCAAAUGCGGCACUACACAGCACAAAUUAAUUUCUUCCGGACAAUAUUAUUAGUAAAAUAGAUUAAAAUAUAAUUGUAAAUCAAAGCCUUUAGGUAAUUCUAGAAUUUUUCGUUUGAUGUUUCAAUCCCUGUUCUGUUCCAUUGACUUUGUCUAGAUGUGUUAUAUAGUGAUUCGAUUUAAAUAUAAUGUAAUUAAUAAAAAAAGUUUGAACUUAUUUCGAACCCUAUUUUGUGUUGUCUGUAUCGGUUCGAGCCGUGUUUUGAUUAUCUGUGGACUUCUGCAGAAUAGAACUGAUGAUUCUGAUAAUAAUUUUUUAAUAUUUUUUUUUGUUUAUACAAUUAAAUUUCUCACCUAGAUGUGUACGACUGAUUUCGUAACAAUUGUUUAUCACAGUAAUAACUCAAUUUCUAGAUGGUGUAUCAAAAAUGUAAAGUUAUUAUUGGCUAAUAUACGUUAUAAAAAAGGAUAGAAAAAAGUGUAUAGCGAUAUAAAUGAACAAUGUAAUAAAAUAAGUAUAAAUUUUUGUAUUGUUGUUUCAGAACAUCUGCUUUUCUAAAUUUCUGCGAUCGUUCACAGAUAACUUUUUUCUAUAUAUUUCAGUUAGGCCAGUCACUGUUAGUGUUUGAAAUAAAACUUUAGUUGUAA